GCCGCAAGGUUAAAACUCAAAGGAAUUGACGGGGACCCGCACAAGCGGUGGAUGAUGUGGAUUAAUUCGAUGCAACGCGAAAAACCUUACCUACCCUUGACAUGUCCGGAAUCCUGAAGAGAUUUGGGAGUGCUCGCAAGAGAGCCGGAACACAGGUGCUGCAUGGCUGUCGUCAGCUCGUGUCGUGAGAUGUUGGGUUAAGUCCCGCAACGAGCGCAACCCUUAUCCUUAGUUGCCAUCAUUCAGUUGGGCACUCUAAUGAGACUGCCGGUGACAAACCGGAGGAAGGUGGGGAUGACGUCAAGUCCUCAUGGCCCUUAUGGGUAGGGCUUCACACGUCAUACAAUGGUCGGUACAGAGGGUUGCCAACCCGCGAGGGGGAGCUAAUCUCACAAAGCCGAUCGUAGUCCGGAUCGCAGUCUGCAACUCGACUGCGUGAAGUCGGAAUCGCUAGUAAUCGUGGAUCAGCAUGUCACGGUGAAUACGUUCCCGGGUCUUGUACACACCGCCCGUCACACCAUGGGAGGUGGGUUUCACCAGAAGUAGGUAGUCUAACCCGCAAGG
rnacentral:rRNA from 1 species